rnacentral:rRNA from 1 species
GCAUCAGUUUGGUUUGCUUGCAAACCAAAGCUGGCGACCGGCGCACGGGUGAGUAACACGUAUCCAACCUGCCUCAUACUCGGGGAUAGCCUUUCGAAAGAAAGAUUAAUAUCCGAUAGCAUAUAUUUCCCGCAUGGGUUUUAUAUUAAAGAAAUUCGGUAUGAGAUGGGGAUGCGUUCCAUUAGUUUGUUGGCGGGGUAACGGCCCACCAAGACUACGAUGGAUAGGGGUUCUGAGAGGAAGGUCCCCCACAUUGGAACUGAGACACGGUCCAAACUCCUACGGGAGGCAGCAGUGAGGAAUAUUGGUCAAUGGACGCGAGUCUGAACCAGCCAAGUAGCGUGAAGGAUGACUGCCCUAUGGGUUGUAAACUUCUUUUAUAUGGGAAUAAAGUGGUCCACGUGUGGAUUUUUGUAUGUACCAUAUGAAUAAGGAUCGGCUAACUCCGUGCCAGCAGCCGCGGUAAUACGGAGGAUCCGAGCGUUAUCCGGAUUUAUUGGGUUUAAAGGGAGCGUAGGCGGAUUGUUAAGUCAGUUGUGAAAGUUUGCGGCUCAACCGUAAAAUUGCAGUUGAUACUGGCAGUCUUGAGUGCAGUAGAGGUGGGCGGAAUU